AUUGAACGCUGGCGGCAGGCCUAACACAUGCAAGUCGAACGGUAACAGGAAGAAGCUUGCUUCUUUGCUGACGAGUGGCGGACGGGUGAGUAAUGUCUGGGAAACUGCCUGAUGGAGGGGGAUAACUACUGGAAACGGUAGCUAAUACCGCAUAACGUCGCAAGACCAAAGAGGGGGACCUUCGGGCCUCUUGCCAUCGGCUGUGCCCAGAUGGGAUUAGCUAGUAGGUGGGGUAACGGCUCACCUAGGCGACGAUCCCUAGCUGGUCUGAGAGGAUGACCAGCCACACUGGAACUGAGACACGGUCCCGACUCCUACGGGAGGCAGCAGUGGGGAAUAUUGCACAAUGGGCGCAAGCCUGAUGCAGCCAUGCCGCGUGUAUGAAGAAGGCCUUCGGGUUGUAAAGUACUUUCAGCGGGGAGGAAGGGAGUAAAGUUAAUACCUUGGCUCAUUGACGUUACCCGCAGAAGAAGCACCGGCUAACUCCGUG
rnacentral:rRNA from 1 species